UCUGUCCUUCAACACUUGUGCAGUUACCGGUAAUGCUAUUCACACUAAUAUUAUUUCGUGUUCUUUUAAGCGCAUUAACUAAAUACCCAGUCAGUCGAAAAGGACGGAAAACUCGCAAAACAAAACUUCCUCUACACAAACACACACCAUCCGGAAAGAGAGGAGAUGACAUCCGACCGAAACCGCCGCUUCACGUCACAUGUUCAACAUGGCUGCUACCAGAGAGCUGUGAAGCUGAUGUAAAUACUUCAGAAAACAUCAUGUCACUGAAGAAAGCUCUGUCUGCAGCUUCUCCACUCACUCUACGAAUCGUCGCUGAAUGCCCAGUGACAAAGGCAAGAGCCUGUGAUCUAAUUCUGCCUCACUCUGCUGUGAGCACCCCGGUGUUCAUGCCUGUCGGUACUCAGGGCACUAUGAAGGGAAUCACUGUGGAUCAGUUGGAGGGUCUUGGCUGUCAGAUUUGUCUAGGAAACACAUAUCACCUGGGCAUGAGACCGGGGCCUGAUUUGAUUGAGAAAGCAAAUGGUUUACAUGGGUUCAUGAACUGGAAGCGAAAUCUUUUAACUGACAGCGGGGGCUUUCAGAUGGUGUCUCUUGUUAAGCUCUCAGAGGUCACAGAGGAAGGGGUGAAGUUCAAGUCCCCCUAUGAUGGCAAAGAGAUCCUCCUUAGUCCUGAGAAAUCCAUCGACAUACAGAACAGUCUGGGGUCAGACAUCAUGAUGCAGCUGGACGAUGUGAUCAGCAGUACCCUGAAAGGGCCGCGAGUCGAAGAGGCAAUGCACAGAUCCAUCCGCUGGCUGGACCGUUGCAUAGCAGCCAAUAAAAAUCCAGACAAACAAAACCUUUUUGCAAUCAUCCAGGGAGGGCUGAAUGUAGAGCUGCGCAAGGCCUGUCUAGAUGAAAUGACUCAACGCGACGUUCCUGGUUUUGCCAUCGGAGGCCUGAGUGGAGGAGAAGAGAAGAAUGAUUUCUGGCGGAUGGUCACCCUGAGCACUGACCACCUGCCACGAGAAAAGCCUCGAUACCUCAUGGGUGUGGGGUAUCCUGUGGACUUGGUGGUGUGUGUAGCUCUGGGAUGUGAUAUGUUUGACUGCGUGUUCCCCACCCGCACUGCAAGGUUUGGCUCUGCCUUGGUGCCUUGGGGAUCCCUCCAGAUAAAACAUAACCAGUAUGCCAAAGACUUCCAGCCCAUAGACCCAGACUGCCAGUGUCCCACCUUGCAAGAGACAUAGUCGGGCUUACCUCCAUGCUCUGUUUAAGAGUGACACUGCAGCCACACAUCACGUCACCAUCCACAACAUUGCCUACCAGCUCACCCUGAUGCUCUCUGUGAGACGAAGCAUUGUGGAAGGCCGCUUCCCUGAGUUCAUACAGACGUUCAUGAAGCGAAUGUUUCCCUCUCGUGACCAGUACCCCGGCUGGGCUGUGGACGCCCUCGCCUCCGUCAACGUUACAUUGGAAUAGAACUUGGAAGCCAAACGUCCUGCUCUAAAAUGGGGACGUCAAACUGUGACCGAAAGAUUUUAUAUCUUUUUAAAUGACUUUAUUUGUAUUUUUAUGGAUGAUUGUUUUUCUACUCUUUGUUUAUAUUUGUGUAUGAAUUGCCAGUUUGGUUGCCGACGAGGAAAAUGGCUUUUGAUCUGAAGGGGUAAAGCCUGGUUGUCUUCUGCUUUACUCAGCCUCUGCAAAUUGUCCUCAUAAUGUGAGACUGAAUGGGGUUUAAAUGAGGUUUGAAACACAUGAACUAUCUCCUCUGAUAUGCUCCGACACUUUUUGUUGUUACCAUGGCUACAGAGCUAGGCCCACCCACUUGAAAUGAAAUGUUUUGCCCUCCUGUGUCAACCUGGUAUUUGAUUUUUUUUUUCUCCCAAAUGCACAAGAUUAAUAAAUGUAUAUUUACUCGGCUGUUUUAACCUUCAUCCUAACAGACUAGUAGUUGUCAGAUGACUGUUUGAACAGAUAAAUGAGUCGAGCUCAGUACAGAUCGUGUGCUUGUGUCAUGAUGACCACCAGAGGGCCAAAUAGAGAGAACCAGAGCAAAGGGACUGUAAAACCAAAGGAUAUGCUAUGUUUCCUAAUAGAGUUAAAAGCAGUUCAGCUGUAAGUACAAAUAACAUGCAAUUACAGUAGGCAUAUGAGCUCAAAUAUAGGAGUGCACAAAAGCAUACAUAUAAAAAAUGAAUCCCAAACUAAGGCAGCAUCUUAUUAAAAUAGUAUAACAUUAUUCUUAUCCAUUGUUCGUCUUCAUGUUCUUGUCCAUUCAAUGGGCAGUAAUCCUGUAUGACCUCUGAGUGGAGGUUUUGUUUGGAGCUUACCGAGGUGCUGCUUUAUCAAGGAUCUGUUGUGGGUGAUUAAUAUUAA